rnacentral:rRNA from 1 species
UGGGGAGUACGAACGCAAGUUUGAAACUCAAAGGAAUUGACGGGGGCCCGCACAAGCGGUGGAUUAUGUGGUUUAAUUCGAUGAUACGCGAGGAACCUUACCAAGGCUUAAAUGGGAAUUGACAGGUUUAGAAAUAGACUUUUCUUCGGACAAUUUUCAAGGUGCUGCAUGGUUGUCGUCAGCUCGUGCCGUGAGGUGUUAGGUUAAGUCCUGCAACGAGCGCAACCCCUGUCACUAGUUGCUAGCAUUAAGUUGAGGACUCUAGUGAGACUGCCUACGCAAGUAGAGAGGAAGGUGGGGAUGACGUCAAAUCAUCACGGCCCUUACGCCUUGGGCCACACACGUAAUACAAUGGCCGGUACAGAGGGCAGCUACACAGCGAUGUGAUGCAAAUCUCGAAAGCCGGUCUCAGUUCGGAUUGGAGUCUGCAACUCGACUCUAUGAAGCUGGAAUCGCUAGUAAUCGCGCAUCAGCCAUGGCGCGGUGAAUACGUUCCCGGGCCUUGUACACACCGCCCGUCAAGCCAUGGAAGUCUGGGGUACCUGAAGUCGGUGACCGUAACAGGAGCUGCCUAGGGUAAAACAGGUAACUA